rnacentral:rRNA from 1 species
AGCCUACGGGGGGCAGCAGUGAGGAAUAUUGGUCAAUGGGCGCGAGCCUGAACCAGCCAAGUCGCGUGAGGGAUGACGGUCCUACGGGUUGUAAACCUCUUUUGCCGGGGAGCAAGCGUGCGUUCGUGAACGCGCGUCGAGAGUACCCGGAGAAAAAGCAUCGGCUAACUCCGUGCCAGCAGCCGCGGUAAUACGGAGGAUGCGAGCGUUAUCCGGAUUUAUUGGGUUUAAAGGGUGCGCAGGCGGUCUGUUAAGUCAGCGGUCAAAGCCCGGGGCUCAACCCCGGCCCGCCGUUGAAACUGGCA